GUCGAACGCGAAAGUCCCGCAAGGGAUCAGUAGAGUGGCAAACGGGUGAGUAACACGUGGGUGACCUGCCUUCGAGUGGGGGAUAACGUCCCGAAAGGGUCGCUAAUACCGCAUGACAUCCUGCCGUUGAAGAGGCGGAGAUCAAAGCUAGGGAUCGCAAGACCUAGCGCUUGAAGAGGGGCCCGCGCCUGAUUAGCUAGUUGGUGGGGUAACGGCUCACCAAGGCGACGAUCAGUAUCCGGCCUGAGAGGGCGGACGGACACACUGGGACUGAGACACGGCCCAGACUCCUACGGGAGGCAGCAGUGGGGAAUUGUUCGCAAUGGGCGCAAGCCUGACGACGCAACGCCGCGUGGAGGAUGAAGAUCUUCGGGUCGUAAACUCCUUUCGAUCGAGACGAACGGCUUCCGGGUAAACAAUCCGGGAGAGUGACGGUACCGAGAGAAGAAGCCCCGGCUAACUCCGUGCCAGCAGCCGCGGUAAUACGGGGGGGGCAAGCGUUGUUCGGAAUUACUGGGCGUAAAGGGCUCGUAGGCGGCCAACUAAGUCAGACGUGAAAUCCCCAGGCUUAACUUGGGAACUGCGUCUGAUACUGGAUGGCUUGAGUUUGGGAGAGGGAUGCGGAAUUCCAGGUGUAGCGGUGAAAUGCGUAGAUAUCUGGAGGAACACCNGUGGCGAAGGCGACAUCCUGGACCAACACUGACGCUGAGGAGCGAAAGCCAGGGGAAGCAACGGGAUUAGAUACCCCGGUAGUCCUGGCCCUAA
rnacentral:rRNA from 1 species